GACAUUGGUUUUUGUUAAAGUCUGUGGUCAUAUGUGUUUUGUCUGUGGUCUUAUGUUUGUCUGUGGUCUUUUAGCAUAAAAAUAUGCUUAUAGACACUAGACUUAUAUGUCUGUUGUUUUAGAUGAGAAGUUAAAAGUAAUCUAUAACACCGAACCUAAUAAUCUAUAGUUGUAAGUGUGAUGUUAUUUAAAAGUUAAAAGAAUAAUUAAAAGUUGCUUUUAAAAAAAAACUAUCAAAGUGUAUUAUUUCUGUCACUCAUCCAAUUUUUUAGAGAAUAAAUUUUGAAAUUAAUAAAAGCCCUAAAAAAACUAUCAGAAAUUCUAUCACGUCCUUAAUUUUCUCUCAAACUCUCAAAAACUGAAUUCGUCGCCGGCGGACCAGUGCAUCACCUUCUUCCACUACCGCCGGUCCGCUCCGCUGCCUCUCUCGUUGAGCCCUAAAUCUCUCUCCCGCCUGUAACUCACCCUCUCAUUCCCUUACUCCCCUGCCACACCCUCUCGAGGCCACUGUUAAAGCUCGCCGCCGGCGGACUAGUGCCUGCCAAUCGCUGCAAGAGUUUCAACAGUGCCCUCACCCAGAUUUGUGCAACGCCACCGUGCCCGAGCAGCCUUCACCGUGCCGAGCCGCUGUCAUCGCGCUCUGCCGCAGCUGCCAUUGCCGCUGUGUCCCACGUACUGUUUCCGCUGUCGCUUAUAAGGUUGAUGCUCGUAUAAAAGCACUCAAAAACAUUGUGUGGAAGGAAGGCCUUAAAUCAACAGGUGGCUGAUUCCCUCGUUAGAUGGGUGGAUCAACUCCAAUACAAAGCCAUCCCCCAAGUCCCAAGUCCUAAAAUUUUAUACGUCGAAAAUAUCCAAUCAUGAUAUAGAUUGUAAUCUUCUUACUCCACGGGCCUCUGUAAGUCGAAGGGGAUCAAACACAGUCGAGUCAAAGUCAUUAGUA